rnacentral:rRNA from 1 species
CAGAGUGCCAAGCGUUAGGCGGAAUCACUGGGCUUAAAGCGUGUGUAGGCGGAACGUUAAGUGCCUUGUGAAAUCCCACGGCUCAACCGUGGAACUGCUGGGCAUACUGGCGUUCUUGAGCCAGCCAGGGGUCGUCGGACAAACGGUGGAGCGGUGAAAUGCGUAGAUAUCGUUUGGAACGCCAAAGGCGAAAGCAGACGACUGGGGCUGAGCUGACGCUGAGACACGAAGGCCAGGGGAGCAAACGGG